CUACAGUUCUUUUCAGAAAUUCCCAUACUAUAUGCUCCAGAAAUCCUUUCCUACAGUCUUCACUCAUUUCCUGGAACUGGCUUUACAUCGCUGCCAUGUGGCACUUCACAGCAUCUGUUUAAAUGAGGGACCAUUCACAUCCUUGGAUCUGAACGGUCCCGGUCUUUCCUCUGCAGGAGAAUUGCUGGAGUCAAGAUAACAAACAAAUUCUGGAUUCGAAAUGAUUUUAGAUGUCCCAUGGUAUGGCUUCUUCCAGAUGGUCCACCAUUUCCUGAAAUUUCUUGAGGGUCUUAAUCUGCUCUUUAUUGCAUCUAUUGACACUCCUUGGUGGCAAGAAUUUGUGAAUUUUGUAAUUCUCAGCUAAUGUGAGAGCAGUCUAAACUCCAACCCCACACUGUGUGAGGGGCUGCUUCUGAUCAGCGGAGACGACCCCCCCCAACUCCAU